CACAUUCGGCUGAAAACUGCUGAAUCUACAGGCCGGCUUUGCCACUGACCGUUCUGAUAGGUCCCCACUGCUCUCUCUGCUGGCCCCUGAUUGGCUCCCUGUUCCAGCUGACUUGCUGCCCACAGACGCCCUGCUGUUGGCAGCGAUGUCCUGAGAGGAGUUGUGAGAGGAGCUGUUGCCGCUGUCCGUCUCCUCCCAGCCGCCUCCUACCUGCCCUGGACACCGCUUGGUCACUGCUGUGGGGAACACACACAUGGUAGUCUGAGACGCCAUUUAAAGGAAGUUUUAUGAACACAGAAUCUGAAGAAACUCUGACCUUUUGGUCCACAAGCAGGCAGGUUGUAGGCACACGCUGGCACGGCCACCUCUAUGGGUGCAGAAGGCGCCACCACGGCCCGGUAAUGGUUGUCAUGGAGACGGAUGCCCUGGUGCUCAGUCGGGGGGAGGACAGCACUGGCCACUACCUCAGCAGCUUUCUGGAUCUUAUCCAGUAUUGAGUCGCUGCCUACUGGAAGGUACAGAGAUUGCAGAGAAACAAAAUUUACACACAGAACAUUUUGAUUUGUGCGUACGGUGAAGUGUGCGUCGCUCACCUGUCGCCUGUUUCCCUGGACUGUAUCCAAAUCCCUGCAUUCCUGACCUGUGGGAAGAUGCCGAUCCCAUACCUGAGCAGAAAGACACAGAGGAUCUAUUGUACUCAGCGAAAUACGACGACUGAGAAUCUGAUGUACCUGACUGAAAAGACUAAAAGCUCUUCUCAUAUUAGUUCAUUACAUGGUAACUGAAGUCAGGUCUAUCAGUUGGCCAGGUGAUGUAUAGCGGUGCUUUUCAAGGUCCACACCGAACUGGACCUGCUCUACAAUACGUUACAAAGUGUACCGAUUCCUGUUUUGAAAUGCAUUUUGAAAGGCAUGCUAUUUUUAAAAGAAAAAAAACCAUCAAAGUUACAGCAUUUAUCAGAGCCAUAACCUGUAAAAACCGAAAGAAUCAUUGGAUUUUCACAUUUCUGCUGGUUCUUGAACUACUUACCUGUGGCAUGAAAAAAAAAACUCAACCAAAUCUAAGCUUAAAAUCUUGAUAUUCAACAAAAUCAGAUUCAUUUACAUGCCAUAUUUAAAAAUUCACAAUCUUUUUGCGUUAAACAGAUUUAGUAAAAAAAAAAAAUAAAAUUCUGUUCACUAUUUUGAAAUACGCUUUCUAUCGAUCGAGAUUUUUACAGCAAGAUAAAUGUGAUUUUAAUUGUGAUUUAUUUUCUUAAUGUUGACUGCAAAGGUCACACUUUAAUGUCACACCAGAGAAUGAGUGUCUCGUUUUCAAUUUCUGCAAUUUGUGUCAAUGUAAGAAUAUAUUUGAGUCAGAAAUAAAUAAGGACUACAACUGUGUGAGCUGCAUCUGCCUCGGAUUCAUGCUGGUUGAACAACAAGUGGUGUGAUGUUUGUGUUAUAAUCAGAGUUCAGGAGGUCAGACUGACUGCAGGUAAACAGAAUGUAUGUAUCUGGACUGUCUUGAACUAGCCUUGUUAUAACUUGUUAUAAAGUUAGAAGUAAGUUGAUUUUUAUUUUGUUAUCACCAGUUGUUCCAGACCUCUGCCCCUGAUUAAGAAUCAGGCGUGGAAAUACAUUUGAUGAACAGUGUUUUCACAUAGAGAAUACACAGGAACAGGGGGCCAAAAAAGUUGGAUUUGGUUUGGAAUUAUUAAUAUACACAAAUUUAUCAAGCCUUAUAUCUAAUUUUCUGUUCAGAAAUGACACAAGGACCAACUGAUUAGAUUUUGGCAGUGAUGCGGCUUAUAGUCUGGAUCCAUGGAUUUGUUCAAGAUUUCUGCAUCAUUGCGAGAUAGUGGCACGCCGUCACUGUAACUAUGACAACAAGUGAACGCUACAUCAGCUGCCUGCUGAUGAUCACAUGAUUGCGAUCCUGCUACAAAUCCACCACUGCAGACCACAAAUUUUUUAAAGAUUUCAUCUGUCGGAAAUACUGUAUAUAAGCACUGCACUAUCUGAGGGCUUUUCUUGUUUUUGAGGUGGAAUCAAGUAUUAUUGGUGCAGCUUCAGUCCUCAGAUCCUUUGCAUUAUGCCACAUGGAAAGCGUGAGCUACUACAUGUAAUGUGAUUCCCAGUACAGCUACUGUAUGUCCAAUUUCAAUCAUAGCAGAUA